GCCUUCGUGGUGUAAUGGUCAGCACACUGAGCCAGUAUUUCAGAGGUCCGUGGUUCGAAUCCCGGCGAAGGAA
rfam:Stegodyphus mimosarum contig74273, whole genome shotgun sequence.